UUCUGGGAAUGCAACAUUCUGAGAUAAGGAGGGCUGGCUGGAACAGCCUGAGCUCUGUUCUGGGACCCAGCUUUACUGAAAUAAGAUAACCUUCAAUGUUUUAGCCCAGCAAAUCUCAUUGCCCCAUGGCAUAAAACCAAGGGUGUUUUCUCUCACUGGACUCAGACAAGUUGGUGACCAGCGCACAGUAAACCUGCUUCACAACAAGAGGAGAAGGAAUUCCAGAGCUCAAAAUGGAGAAAGGAACAGAGUAAGAACAAUGGCUUCAGGAGGAAAAUGCAAUGAUAGAAGCUUUGAAAGAAAGACGACUAGAAUUCAGGUCAUAGUAGAUGAUGAUACCUGCCUGUCUGACCUUUGGGGAAGGGGAAUUUCUGAAACCUAAGGCUUCCUUGUAUUGCUCAAUUCAGUGAGAAAGAAAUCACUAAUGAUAGCAGGGUUUUGCUUUGUCGCCCAGGCUGGAGCGCAGUGGCACAAACAGAGUACAUUGCUGUCUAUCUUCUGGACUCAAAUGAUCUUCCCUCCUCAGCCUUCUGAAUAGCUGGGACUACAGAUAGAAAUAUUAGUUUUAUGAGAAAUUAUUUCUUAAAGGAUGAAACAUUCCACAAUAUAUAUUUUAUCACAGACUAUGGGUGGAUUCCACUGGGAGAAAAGAGGAUCUAAAUGCCAGGCUCACCCCUCACAUUCUAUUCAACUGCACAGGAUAGAAUGAUACAUCCCUCUCUCACAAGAGCUCCCUGGAGACUGCAGAGGAAUCACCAUCUUCAGCAAGCUUUAUCAAGAAUGCAUUCAUGAGAUUCCCACUUUAAACAUCCAGACAAGCACUUUUAUGUCUGUCACAGAGGCUUUAAAGGAGAGGCUGGAGAGUUCUCAUUUUCAGCACCAUCUCAGCUGUCGGUAUUUCCCAAACCUGCACUGAUGUCUGAGAAUCCACAUCAAAACUUUUGCAUUUGUCCUCAAAGAAUGUCACAACUAUUAUUCUAAAAUGCUCAUUGCAUCUAUUUCUAGGGAUGGUAAUGAUGACUCUGUACGGACUAAGAUAGGAUGAAUAACAAUGCAGAGUUGAACUCAAUUAUCAAGCUCUGGAUAUUUAAUUGUCUUACUGAGAAAAUCUGAAAUUGGAGGGGCAUAAAAACAUGAAACUCUUUUACUUUUUUUCUCCUUGUCACCCUUUAAUGAGAUUUAUGGGAGACUUAAAACUUUCCUGUCACUUUUGUAUUGAAAAAAGUCCAGUCUGGCCUAGAUUGGUUUAGAAUUUCAGUUUCAUUUUUUAUCUAAAACUCUUUUUUUUUUUUUUUUUUUUUUCUUACGACGGAGUCUUGCUCUGUCACCUAGGCUGCAGUGCAGUGGUGCAAUCAUGGCUCACUGCAGCCUCAACCUCCUGGGCUCAAGCAAUCUUCCUGCUUCAGCCUCCCAAGUAGCUGGAACUACAGGCAUUUGCUACCAUAACCAGCUAAUUUGUUUUUUUGUAGAGAUGGUGUCUUGCUAUAUUCCCCCAUGCUUGUCUGAAACUCCUGGUCUUAAGCAAUUUUCCCACCUCAGCCUCCCAAAGUGCUGGGACUACAGGCAUGAGCCACCAUGCCUAGCCUCUUGUUUAAAGCGCUUAUCCUUCCCUCACUGAUCAGCCUUGAAUUGUAUGUGGAGGUAAAGAUGUUCCUAGAUUUAUCAAAAUAACAAAACAAAAACAAAAAUAAAAAUUGCCCAGUUAAAUUUGAAUUUCAGAUAAACAACAUUUUUUUUAGUAUAAGUAUACUCCAAAUAGUGCCUGUAACAUACUUUAAAUUUUUUUGUUUGUGUAUCUGAAAUUCAAAUUUAAUGGGUCAUCUUGUAUUUCCUUUGGUAACAUAUUCUAUUAUUAUAGCCUCUGGAUCCUCUGGGGUCUUUGGUGGGUGGUGGUGAAAAUAAAUGUGUAUCUUUUGUGUAACUGAGCACAAGAUUAUAAACAAUUCCUUCUUCAUUGUUUCUCAGGGUUCUGCUGUGUUGCCCUGAGUCACCAAUUUGCUACAAAUAUUUGAGCCUCAGGCUUCUGUUGGCCUGGAAACUUAAAUACUUGAUGAAUCAGAGGAAACUUCAGGAUAACUGGGUCCAGGAUUUCUGGGACAGUCUCUUUUCUUACGUGAAAACAUUCAGAGAUGUUCUUUAAAAUAAUAUUGGCCAAUAUUGUUAAGAAAACUACACAUUUGCAUGUUAAUAUUAAUUUUAUUUUUAAUCAUGUGAUGAAUAAUUAAAUCUUGAAAUCACUUUUGGACUACUGACAAUUUUAUUAUCAAAACACUUGAAUGAACUGAUGAUGCUUGUAAUUUUAAAUGAAGCCAGCACCUGAAGGCCUCAGAUAAAAUCUGUAUUUCUUCACUCUGUCAAAUGAUGGGUAGUAUACCAAAGUCACAAAGACAUUUUUCUGAGUCCAGAAAUAAAAUAUUCUUCAUCACAUUGAUUUCUGGUGCUGCUUAUUUUGCACUUUUGAACUUGUAAUUUAAAUAGUUAUCACAUGUACAGAUACAUACAGAGGUAUGCUAUAUAUAUAAAAUGCAUAUAAAAUAUUCCUAUUUUUUGAGGCAUUUUAACAAACACAAACAAAGACAAAGACAAUAUCAUCUCUCUACCAACAGUGAAUGGGCUUUCCCUGUAACUGGACAUACUGGUGUUCAGAUAUUUAAAAUAGGGUUUAAUGUUAGAUUGUUAAUACUUCAACUAGGAUUUGAAAUACAGAUGCAUAUGAGAUGGAUUCCUUAUGACCUACCUACCAGGUUGAGCUCAGAUGGUUUUUUGGUUAUUGGUGUUGUUGCCAUGGGAAGGGUACAAUGGUAGGAUGAAAUAAUCAGGGAGAUAAAUUGAUAUACAGAUGAAGCUUGGGCCAUGUAAUAAUAACUAAGUACCUAUGAUAUAGAGUUGUUUCAACUAAAUAAGUUUGAAUAUAUUAAAACACUUUGGAGAAUGUUAACUAUUAUAGCCAAACAUAAUUAUUUCAUGUUUUACAAUUCUGUUUCUCUCUAUUUUAAUAUAAAUAUUGACCUAAUAAUCUGUGCAUGGCAGGAAUUCUUAUUUUAAAAAUUUGCAAAGAUUUAAGGGGACUUUCUAAAAAGUUCUUGGAAGCCUUAUGGUUCUAAUUAUGCCCACUGAAUAGAAUGCAAUUUUCUAAAAAUUUUCUUUGGAGCAAUGCAGAUUUUAGUGAAUAAUAUGUUUUAGUGAAAAGUUUGAAGAUUUUUUAUUGAGAAACAAUAUUACAAAUUAAUUAAAACAUAUUCCUGGGCACCCUUAAAUAAAUAUAGUGGAAUAAAGUACAAGAUAAAAAUCUACUUCAACACAUAAUUAGCUUGGCUAAUCUUUCUUCUCCCUAUUCUUUCUUCUCCCUAUUCUUUCCUUCCUAAUUGUUAUAAUAUUGACAAUGUUAUUUUUUCAUAGAUUUCUAUUAAAGAUUUUUUUCCCAUAUCGUAGAGAUAAUGGUCACAGAUGUUAGUAGUUCCUGAUUCCUUAUCUCUCCAAACUUUAGCUUGAUAUUGUGAAUAAAUUUCACAGAAUUAAUUUCAGAAUAAAAAGGGAAAAAACCAUAAUUUCUGGUCAUGUUUAUGCCUGUUUGUGGUUUAUAACCCCAUAAGUUGUCAAACUUUGUGUUCAGUUUACAGAUUUUGAAUACAAAUAAAAAAUUACACAUACUGUA